ACCAAAUCCCCCAUCAUUACCUGUGCCUUGUACAAGAGAGCCCGGCAGCCAUAGCCAUGGGAGGAAGCAAGAGGGGUCUGGGGAGUGCGAUCGUGUGUUUACUCGUGCAGGGGCUGGUCCUGAAGCAGGUGCAACAUGUAGAGGGCGUGGAUUGCGGCGGGAGCAUCUUCUAAGUGGCCUGCUACCAUUCUUGCCUUCUGGGUCCUAGUACAGUGUUUCAGUGCACAGACUUCUGUGGCUGUCACCUCCCCGCUGACUUGGCCUUUGUACGCAGCUCCGAUGAACUAAACACCAUUGAGUAUUGCAGCUUAGAAUGUAGGUCUUCCGUGUGUGACAACAUGGUCAUGGUCAACAUAGCUACCAACAGUGAAGAGAUGAAACUCUAUGUGAAACUCUGCGGUGAUGCUUGUGAUAGUUUAUGUAAGGGGGAUGCUCUACUGGCAUCCCUUGAUCUUGAUGACUAAUAAUGCAUAUGCAUGGUCUGAAAUUUCACAGGCCAAAGUUAUGUCUCGCCUUCGUGUUCAAUAAAACUGGAUCCCAUUGAGAGUAUCCAAACCAGUGUGUUAGUUUGUUCAUGUGCUUGUGUCUAUUUUCUUUCGUUGCUACAAUAAAAGAUAUCAUGAUGAAUGCCAUCUUGCUGCCUGCUUGAGAUAUAAUA